GUGCCAGCAGCCGCGGUAAUACGUAGGUCCCGAACGUUGCGCGAAUUUACUGGGCGUAAAGGGUCCGUAGGCGGUCUGGUAAGUGGAAGGUGAAAUCCUGGGGCUCAACUCCAGAAUUGCCUUCCAAACUGCCGGACUUGAGGCAGGGAGAGGCGAGUGGAAUUCCGAGUGUAGAGGUGAAAUUCGUAGAUAUCGGGAGGAACACCAGUGGCGAAGGCGGCCGACUGGAACUGACCUGACGCUGAGGGACGAAAGCCAGGGGAGCGAACCGGAUUAGAUACCCGGGUAGUCCUGGCCGUAAACGAUGGAUGCUAGAUGUGGGCGGGGAGACCCGUCCGUGUCGCAAGCUAACGCGUUAAGCAUCCCGCCUGGGGAGUACGGCCGCAAGGUUGAAACUUAAAGGAAUUGACGGGG
rnacentral:rRNA from 1 species